AGCGAACGCUGGCGGCAGGCCUAACACAUGCAAGUCGGACGAACUCUUCGGAGUUAGUGGCGGACGGGUGAGUAACACGUGGGAACGUGCCUUUAGGUUCGGAAUAACUCAGGGAAACUUGUGCUAAUACCGAAUGUGCCCUUCGGGGGAAAGAUUUAUCGCCUUUAGAGCGGCCCGCGUCUGAUUAGCUAGUUGGUGAGGUAACGGCUCACCAAGGCGACGAUCAGUUGCUGGUCUGCGAGGAUGGCCAGCCACACUGGGACUGAGACACGGCGCAGACUCCUACGGGAGGCAGCAGUGGGGAAUCUUGCGCAAUGGGCGAAAGCCUGACGCAGCCAUGCCGCGUGAAUGAUGAAGGUCUUAGGAUUGUAAAAUUCUUUCACCGGGGACGAUAAUGACGGUACCCGGAGAAGAAGCCCCGGCUAACUUCGUGCCAGCCGCCGCCGUAA
rnacentral:rRNA from 1 species